UACGAAGGGGGCUAGCGUUGCUCGGAAUUACUGGACGUAAAGGGCGCGUAGGCGGAUAGUUUAGUCAGAGGUGAAAGCCCAGGGCUCAACCUUGGAAUUGCCUUUGAUACUGGCUAUCUUGAGUUCGGGAGAGGUGAGUGGAACUGCGAGUGUAGAGGUGAAAUUCGUAGAUAUUCGCAAGAACACCAGUGGCGAAGGCGGCUCACUGGCCCGAUACUGACGCUGAGGUGCGAAAGCGUGGGGAGCAAACAGG
rnacentral:rRNA from 1 species